GUUCAGAAGAUUCAACAGAUUCAGCAACUGCAGCUUAUUUAUCACAUAAAAUGCUUUCAGAAACACAUUUCAGUCAACUAUUUUCCUAAAAU